GGGGUGGGGUGAAGAGAGGCGUAAUUGUGACCGCAAGCUGAUUUAGAGGGCUGGGGGGUGAAAUUUGAGGUCAUAUCCCGGGAGAGAGGAAGAAGGAUCGUGAGUCACCGAACCCAAAGGAGAGGAAAAGAUGUGGAGGCAGCGAUCUAUGGCCUCUUCCAGCUCCGGACCGGGGAUGGGGACGCUCUGGACAAUACGGGCCUCAGUUAUUGUCCCACUGUCCUUUCAACCUUUAAGCAACCCAGUUGGAGGCCGCCUGGAAGAAUGUAGCCUUUGAACUAGGGCCUGAAAUUGGGGCUCCUACCGGUUGUGUGGGCUUAGGAAAGUCACUUAACCUUCCUGCAUGCUCCCUGAUUUCUUCACUUGGCAACUGAGGGUAGCAAUAGUAGUUGAUGAGAAGAUUAAAUGAACUCUGAUAAACGCCAACAGUGGCUGGCACUCAACAGGCAUUCAAUGAAGGGUGAUUCUUCACCCAUCACCCACUCAUCUCAUGUGGCUGGGAAACUAGGCCCAUUUCUAAAAUUCUGUGAGCCUGAAACUGCUUUUGCAAUGGCAUGUCGUGUACCAAGAAUAGAACACUUGAGCGACUUGAAAUGCAACCCCUGUAGGUUGUGACAAGGAACAAUGGGCUGGCUCAAGUUUUAUGAAGCGUGACCAAACAACAUCCUCUGAAGGCUGAUCAGCACCGGACUAGAAAUCACUGCGUGAGCUAUAUCCGUCAGAGACCCCUGAAACCCGUUCCCCAUUCUGAAGGUGUAGACAUCACAGACUGUGGACAGAAAUAGCUUCUCAGACUUGAAUGUAGCCCCAGACCCUUUGUGUCUGCCUUUGAAAGAACUCACAGCCAUGGUACAUCAGAGUGAAGGAGAAGAAAGAAUCCUUUGCCAUUGCUCUAUUUUUCAUUCAGUUGUCAUGUUACCUUGAAAAUAAAGGUUUCAUCUCAGUGUUUAUAUAUUCCUCUGUAUUCUCUUUCAUCUUGACAAAAAAAAAAAAAAACAACCCAGGCUUCAGUAGCAAAGUCUCUUAGU